GAAUAAGAGGUCUAGCCUGCCCUGUGACUAUAUGUUUAACGGCCGCGGUAUUUUAACCGUGCGAAGGUAGCGUAAUCACUUGUCUUUUAAAUGGAGACCUGUAUGAAUGGCAUUACGAGGGCUUAACUGUCUCCUUUUUCAAGUCAAUGAAAUUGAUCUCCCCGUGCAGAAGCGGGGAUAAUACCAUAAGACGAGAAGACCCUAUGGAGCUUUAGACACUAAGGCAUAUCAUGUAAUCUACCCCUAAACCCUGAGGACUAAACCUAUUGAAACAUGCCCCUAUGUCUUCGGUUGGGGCGACCACGGGGAAAUAAAAAACCCCCGCGUGGAGUGGGAGUACAACUUCCUGCAACCAAGAGCUGCAGCUCUAACAAACAAAAUUUUUGACCAUAAACAGAUCCGGCAAAGCCGAUUAACGGACCAAGUUACCCUAGGGAUAACAGCGCAAUCCCCUUUUAGAGCCCAUAUCGACAAGGGGGUUUACGACCUCGAUGUUGGAUCAGGACAUCCUAAUGGUGCAGCCGCUAUUAAGGGUUCGUUUGUUCAACGAUUAAAGUCCUACGUG
rnacentral:rRNA from 1 species